AGGACGAACGCUGGCGGCGUGCCUAAUACAUGCAAGUCGAACGGUCUUUCUAUGGAAGCUUGCUUCCACUGAGAAGAUAGUGGCGAACGGGUGAGUAACACGUGGGUAACCUGCCCAUAAGAGGGGGAUAACAUCCGGAAACGGGUGCUAAUACCGCAUAGUUUUCUUGAUCGCAUGAUCGGGAAAGGAAAGACGGCCUUUGUGCUGUCGCUUAUGGAUGGACCCGCGGCGUAUUAGUUAGUUGGUGAGGUAACGGCUCACCAAGACGAUGAUACGUAGCCGACCUGAGAGGGUGAUCGGCCACAUUGGGACUGAGACACGGCCCAAACUCCUACGGGAGGCAGCAGUAGGGAAUCUUCCGCAAUGGACGAAAGUCUGACGGAGCAACGCCGCGUGAGUGAAGAAAGGUUUUUCGGAUCGUAAAACUCUGUUGUCAGAGAAGAACAAGUUGGAGAGUAACUGCUCCAGCCUUGACGGUAUCUGACCAGAAAGCCACGGCUAACUACGUGCCAGCAGCCGC
rnacentral:rRNA from 1 species